rnacentral:rRNA from 1 species
UGUCCAGACUCCUACGGGAGGCAGCAGUGGGGGAUAUUGCACAAUGGGGGAAACCCUGAUGCAGCGACGCCGCGUGUGGGAAGACGGUCCUCUGGAUUGUAGACCACUGUCCCCAGGGACGAAGAUGACGGUACCUGGGGAGGAAGCUCCGGCUAACUACGUGCCAGCAGCCGCGGUAAUACGUAGGGAGCAAGCGUUGUCCGGAAUUACUGGGUGUAAAGGGAGCGUAGACGGCGGUGCAAGCCAGAUGUGAAAGCCCGGGGCUCAACCCCGGGACUGCAUUUGGAACUGUGCUGCUAGAGUGUCGGAGAGGCAGGCGGAAUUCCUAGUGUAGCGGUGAAAUGCGUAGAUAUUAGGAGGAACACCAGUGGCGAAGGCGGCCUGCUGGACGAUGACUGACGUUGAGGCCCGAAAGCGUGGGGAGCAAACAGGAUUAGAUACCCUGGUAA